rnacentral:piRNA from 1 species
UAUACUGUUUUUAGUUAGUUG